rnacentral:rRNA from 1 species
GAUUAACGCUGGCGGCGUGCAUAACACAUGCAAGUCGAACGAUGAAACUUAACUGAUUUCUUCGGAAUGAUUUUAAGUGGAUUAGUGGCGGACGGGUGAGUAACGCGUGAGUAACCUGCCUUGGAGAAGGGGAUAGCCUUUGGAAACGAAGAAUAAUACCCUAUGAUAUGAUAAUAUCUCAUGAUAUUAUCCUCAAAGAUUUAUCGCUCUAAGAUGGACUUGCGUCUGAUUAGUUAGUUGGUGAGGUAACAGCUCACCAAGGCAGCGAUCAGUAGCCGGCUUGAGAGAGUGUACGGCCACAUUGGGACUGAGACACGGCCCAGACUCCUACGGAAGGCAGCAGUGGGGAAUUUUGCACAAUGGGGGAAACCCUGAUGCAGCGACGCCGCGUGAUUUAGAAGGCCUUCGGGUUGUAAAAAUCUUUUGUAUGGGAAGAAAAUGACAGUACCAUACGAAUAAGGACCGGCUAAUUACGU